AAUCAACGCUGGCGGCGCGCUUAACACAUGCAAGUCGCACGAGAAAGUGGAGCAAUCCAUGAGUACAGUGGCGUACGGGUGAGUAACACGUGGAUCAUCUACCUCUUAGUGGGGAAUAACCCUGGGAAACCGGGGCUAAUACCGCAUAAGCUCGAGAGAGGAAAGCAGCAAUGCGCUGAGAGAGGAGUCCGCGGCCGAUUAGCUAGUUGGCAGGGUAAACGCCUACCAAGGCAAAGAUCGGUAGCCGGCCUGAGAGGGCACACGGCCACA
rnacentral:rRNA from 1 species